rnacentral:rRNA from 1 species
AACGAACGCUGGCGGCAUGCCUAACACAUGCAAGUCGAACGAGACCUUCGGGUCUUUUGGCCCACGGGUUUGUCACGCGUGGGAACCUUCACUUAGGGUUGGAAUAACUCCCCGAAAGGGGUGCUUAUACCGGAUAGUGUCUUCGGACCAAAGAUUUAUUGCCUUUGGAGGGUCCCGAGUUGGAUUAGCUGGUUGGUAGGGUAAAAGCCUACCAAGGCGACGAUCCAUAGAUUGUAUGAGAGGAUGAUCAGCCACACUGGGACUGGGAAACGGCCGAGAAUCCUACGGAAGGGAGGAGUGGGGGAUAUUGGAAAAUCGGCGGAAGGAUGAAGCAGCUAGGACCGGAGAGCGAUGAAAGUAGUAAGGAUGAAAAGCUUUUUUACCCGGGAUGAUAAUGACGGUACCGGAAGAAUAAGCUCCGGCUAACUACGUG